GCGGCCUGUACGUUCGUGACAGCGUAUGCUCGACUCCGCAUGAGGCCUCUCCAAUCUUGGCUCAUCGCGCAGUACCGGCCGGCCAGACAUUCGUUAGACACAGUUGUCACCAUCCCCCAGGGGGUACUGGACUCCCUCCGGUGGUGGCUAGACCAGUCCGUCGUGUGUGCAGGGCUCCCGUUCCAUCCGCCCCAACCCUCGGCAUCCCUGACGACGGACGCCUCAGAUCUGGGCUGGGGGGCGCACAGCGGAACCCUGAGGACUCAGGGCCUGUGGUCCCCCCAGGAACUGGACCUCCACAUCAACAUACGGGAGUUGAGAGCGGUCCGUCUUGCUUGUCAAGCGUUCGUCCAUCACCUUCAAGGUCGCUGUGUCGCGGUGUUCACCGACAACACGACGACCAUGUACUAUAUCAACAAGCAGGGCGGCACCAGAUCCUCUCCCCUAUGUCAGGAGGCGACGCGGCUCUGGGAAUUUUGUAUAGCCCAUGCCAUUCACCUCACGGCCUCCUACCUACCUGGAGUACGAAACACACUGGCGGAUCGCCUGAGCAGAUCCUUCCGCUCACACGAGUGGUCCCUUCGCCCGGACGUCGCCCUCUCACUCUUCCAGAGGUGGGGUCGUCCCCGGAUGGACCUCUUCGCGUCCAGGGAGAACAGGAAAUGCCAGGCAUUCUGCUCCUUUCAGGGUCGGGAGCCCGGGUCAUUAGCGGAUGCCUUCCUUAUCCCAUGGGCGACCCAUCUGUUUUAUGCGUUCCCUCCGUUUCCGCUGGUCCACAAGGUCCUCCUCAAGGUGCGCAGGGACAGGGCUCGCGUGAUUCUGAUAGCCCCAGCGUGGCCCAGGCAACAUUGGUACCCCAUGUUGCUGGACCUCUCAAUAACCAACCCAGUUCCCCUGCCCCUUCACCUGGAUCUGAUCACCCAGGACCACGGCAGGCUCUGUCACCCGGACCUUCGGUCUCUGCAUCUCACGGCGUGGCUCCUGCGUGGCUGACCAGCUCCGAGUUACGCUGCUCUACCCCGGUUCGGGAGGUUCUCCUGGGCAGUAGGAAGCCUUCCACUAGAGCUACGUAUUCAGCCAAGUGGAAGCGUUUUUCCUGCUGGUGCUCGGAGAAGGGUUUUCUCCCUAUGGAGGUUUCCAUCGCCAAUAUUCUGAACUACAUCUGGUCCCUCAAGGUCCAGGGUCUGGCGAUAUCGUCCCUUCGGGUUCACCUAGCGGCCAUCUCCACCUUUCAUCCGGGAGGAGAUGGCCGUUCUGUCUUCUCCCACCCUAUGGUGGCAAGAUUCCUGAAGGGGCUGGAACGUCUCUACCCACAGGUCCGUCCCCCUGCCCCUUCAUGGGAUCUCAACCUCGUUCUGGCUCGGCUCAUGGGCCCUCCAUUUGAGCCGUUAGCGACUUGCUCCCUGCUCUACCUCUCCUGGAAGACCGCCUUUCUAGUGGCCAUCACCUCAGCUAGACGGGUGUCGGAACUCCGGGCUCUCACGGUAGACCCCCCGUAUACGGUCUUCCAUGAGGACAAAGUGCAGCUGAGACCGCACCCUGCCUUUCUCCCUAAGGUGGUCUCAGCCUUUCACAUUAACCAGGAGAUCUUCCUUCCCGUCUUUUUCUCAAAGCCCCAUUCGUCC
ensembl:lncRNA